UACGCGGGGCAGGUUGAGUUAUCGAUCGUGGGCCUCACUUGAUGAACGCAACCACUAUUCCACACACGUGCCGAUGCCCUCCUGCUGAAGAGCCGGAAGAAAAAAAAAAAGAGAGGCGAAGGUAAGAAAAUAAAAAAGCAAAACCCCCUCCUCAUCGACGGGGAAAAAAAUGCAAAAAUCUCGAUCUAAUCUUCUCUUCGAUGCUUGGUUCCCGAUUCUCUACCAUCUCAUACUCCUCCAAUUUCCCGCUAAAAUAUCUGGAAUUCGGAUGGAUGUUAGCCUUCGAGGGAAACAACUAUGCAGAACUACAGUUCAAGGAAGAUAUCUAAUAUCAGAUGAUAAUGGCCACGUGUGUGAUGCUCUAUCACUUGAUUCAUGGUCUCGCUGCUGUCCUGAAACAGGAGAGCAAUUCUCUUGUCAGGGAUGCAACCUUGUUGCACAAUGCUGCAACUCAUAUGAGUUCUGCGUUUCUUGCUGCCUGAAUCCAGCACAGUUACUUUUCCAGACACAAAAAGAGCUUGCUUUGAAGGUGAAGAUAGCCAAGCCAGUAACUGCAGGCACAUAUGCAAGUAUCUUUGAUUUCUGUGCCGGAUCAUGCCGUCAUAAUUCUGCUAGCGUGGUUCAUGAAAAUGCUUAUGUAAGUGACUUGCAUCACUGCUUCUCUCCGACGUCAAACUCUUCUGCAGGGGCUGCAGUUACUCGUUCGGAAGCCAGGUUGGCUGGCAUCAAUAUUGUCACCGGAAGGCAAGGGGAAUCCUGCAACACAGCCUGCAAGUCAAAGGGGCAAUCAUGCGUUCCAAGCAAGCUUUUGCUGCUAAAUACUUGCGAACUUCUGCAGAAGUACAUGAGCUGCAAGGGUGAUUGUUUAGCUAGCAUGGGAAUGGAUCAACCUGCAGAAGUUGUUGAUGAUGCGCCGAAGCAUUUGAAUCCAGGUGCGUGCUUGUAUACACGAAUGUCAACCAUGCUCUCAUGUGAUGGUACUCAUCAGCAUACGAGGAGACUUUGUCCCUGCGCAUAGUGUGUUUGCAUUGUUCCAUUUUAUUGGAUGGUUGACCCCCAAAUCAGUCCAAAGCAAUCAAUACAUGUCAUGUUUCUUAGCCUAGGGAACUCUCUAAUUAUGUUUGGAAAGAAAACAACGCCUGUUCGAGUAGAUUCUGUAAGCACGUAUGUCAAUGGAAGGACGGUCUUUUGCAAGCCCUGUUUUGCACGAAUUUUGAGGAAAGCUUGCUAGAGGUUGUGGGACAUUUAACAGGGAAAGCCUUAUAUGGUAAAACAAAUUCUGCUUUGUAAUAUCUUGUUGUAGAAUUUUCGUGUUUAUCAGAACGAAGCCAGCCUUUCCUACAUAGCUCUUCCUACAUAGCUUGUAUGAAGAGCUAUGUAGGAAGCCAGCACAUUACAGCACCUAUGUAGGAAGAGCUAGUGUUAUCUUAUUCUUCAAUUAUUUAUUUCAGCACCUACAUUGGCCAAAUAAAUGAGAAAGCAAUGGAAGUUGAGCUCA